UCGUAACACGCACGGCACAAAACUUGAGCAGGAAAAGGCUGUUUUUGUUUUGAAAGUGUAGGUGUGCCCAAGUUGGGUUCUUUCAAAAAUCCUCCUUCCCGCCCCCUUGCAAAGCGGCCUCUUGGGCUCCUGCCUCGGGAAGGCCAGGCCGGAGGGUGAGCGUAGCCUGCAGGCCAGCACCUCCCCUUCCGGGCGCCUGGCCGCGCCCCCGCCCAGUGUCCCCGGAGCGUCGGGCACCGCGAGGGAGGCGGGUCUGAGCCCGGAGCCUUGAAUUACGUGGGACGGAGGCGGGAUUCCAAGCCCUCCGACCCCGCGCAGCUGCUGUAACCCCGAGAUAGCAGAGAAGCCAUGAAACUGCCAUGUAGGACUGGAACUGCUGGCUGUCCGUGACACUGUGGUACCUGUGUGGGAGCCUUCACGGAAAGUUUUUGAUGAGGAAUGCCAGGCCCAAUAUUUUCCUGCUGAUGGUGGACGAUCUUGUGGUGGGAGAUUUGUGCUGUUAAAGCAAUAACACAAUGAGGUAAAGAAGCCACCACACCGUGGACGGGAGAGCCCUUGAGAGGGUGGCCCCCAGGGAGCAGUCAUCCCUAAGGACAGCAGAGGUCGCCCUGGGACAGCUGCAAAGGACAGAACUACUACUGCUGUUUCAUUAUUGUGCACCUCUAAUAUUGACUGCCUGGCAAGUGAGGUGGUGAGAAACACCCAGAACCUAGCAGCUGCCUUCUUGGGGGCGCAGGAGACUUGACAGCAGAUGGUACAGUACGACUCCGUGGGCUUAAUGAGUGAAUCUUACAUUUCUCAAUGUUUACAAAAGACCCUUCUGGGCGUUUGAUUGAGACUGCAUCCAAGUUUGAGAUGGGUGAUCGACGGCCACAACCUGAUGCCUUUGCUUCAGGGACAUGUCCGGCGCUCAGAGCAUGAGUUUCUGUUCCACUACUGUGGUGCGUACCUCCACGCCGUGCGCUGGCACCCGAUGGGCAGUGAGGUGGUGUGGAAGGUUCAUUAUGUGACGCCAGUCGUCCAGCCACCAGGAGCUCAAGCCUGCUAUCAGAGUGUGUUUUGCCAAUGUUCAGGCCAACGGGUCACCCACCACGACCCUUCUCUGCUCUUUGACCUCACCAGAGACCCCUCGGAGUUCACACCCCUAACACACGACGCAGAGCCCUUGUAUGAUACAGUGAUCGAAACAGUGGCCAGCACCCUAAAGGAGCACAAGAAAACCAUCCUUCCGGUCCAGGAGCAGCCGUCAGAACUGAAUCGUAACAAUAUAUGGCUGAAGCCUUGCUGUGGGGUAGUCCCAUGCUGUCUGUGUGACAAGGAAGGGGGACGCCUUAGUUGAGGGGUCAUGACAAUAAGCCACGGUGGAGAACAGGCAGCCAAAGUCUGCUAAUUUUAGCUCUUUCCCGUUUUCCAGGAAUGCAUUUGAGCGCCAAUAAAUUCAUCUAUUGUUCCAGAUAAUCAAAUGUGUGUUGGUGGUGACGAUUUCCACUAAUUUCUUUUCCAUUCUUGAGGAUAAAUGUUGAUCUUGUUUCCAAGUUUUCAGACAUCUCUUUCAGGGCUGGGACACAUGCACUGGCAUCCAUUUGUCCCAUGAGCUCUGUUGUUCUUCAAAGUAAACUCUACUUAUAAAGAACCAUGUACAAACAAGUCAUUGAUCGGGAGAGGCCAAACACGCAGCAUUUAAUAAUAAUGCAUUGAAAGCAUCCAUCCCAAAGUGGUCAAUAAGCCAAGGGAAGGAUUUAUUUUUGUCCGCAAUCAAGAUAAAUUGAGUCAAGAGUGGUACAGCUUUGAGCCUAUGGUAGUUUACAUAGCAGCUGGUCGCCUUAUCGUCUGGGAGGCAGUCCAGUCAUUGAUGCAACAUUGCCCAGAGCAAGGUGAUCCCAGAGACCAAAAAGAAGUGGGGACCAAAUACCUGGGAAGGUCAUCAGCAUCGGCUUUCCCCUGAGGAUGUGCCAGACCUUGAUGGAGUAUCUUAUUUCCCUCUUACUCCCCAUUUAUGCUUAAGUAUAAUUCCUGGCAGUUUCCUAGGGCUGCCUUAACAAAUCACCUCAAAUGUGGUGGCUCAAAACAAUGGAGAUGUAUUCUCUCUCAAUUAUGGAAGCCAGCAGCCCCAAAUUCAAGGUAUUGGUAGGGCCAGGCUUCCCCUGAAAUUUUGAUAAGGUCACAUUCACAUUUCCAAAUCAGGUAGCAGGAUUUAGGACAUCCACAUGUCUUUUGCGGGGUUAGAAUUCAAGCAACUCCUCCCCUAUAUAAUGGAUGAAAUAUGUGGGGCUUGGAAAUGUUCCUGUAAUGUGCUCAGGAGAACACAGCUUGUUAAGUUAUGGGGCUGAGACUGACCCCCCCGGUCAUAUUGACCCCAAACUCCGAUGCACACCUAUCCCAUGAUGCCUUGCAGGCUGUAAUCCCAGGAGGAACACAAUUAUGUGUGUUUGAUCCCUUUUAACAUGACUCUAUUCUUUAUUGUCUAUACUAAGGAGUAAACGGAGACUAAAAAUCAAAUGCAAAUCACUGUAUUAAUAUUGGAUAUUGAAUAAAGAUUUAUUUGACUCCGA